GGGUUUGUAGCUUAGCUGGUAGAGCACUUGACUCUUAAUCAAGGGGUCCUGAGUUCGAAUCUCAGCAAACCCA
rnacentral:tRNA from 1 species